AACGUACGCUGGCGGCACGCCUAACACAUGCAAGUCGAACGCAGUAGCAAUACUGAGUGGCAAACGGGUGAGUAUAAUGUGGGAAUCUGCCUUUUGGUUCGGAAUAACACGAGGAAACUUGUGCUAAUACCGGAUAAGCCUUUACAGGGAAAGUUUUAAUGCCAAAAGAUGAGCCCGCACUUGAUUUGCUAGUUGGUAAGGUAAUAGCUUACCAAGGCAACGAUCAAUAGCUGUUCUUAGAGGAAGACCAGCCACAUUGGGACUGAGACACGGCCCAAACUCCUACGGGAGGCAGCAGUGGGGAAUCUUGCACAAUGGGGGAAACCCUGAUGCAGCGAUGCCGCGUGAGUGAAGAAGGCCUUUGGUUGUAAAACUCUUUCGUCGGGGAAGAAAAUGACUGUACCCGAAUAAGAAGGUCCGGCUAACUUCGUGCC
rnacentral:rRNA from 1 species